rnacentral:rRNA from 1 species
ACGCUAGCGACGUGCCUAAGGUAUGCAAGUCGAAUGCCGAUUUAUCGGCAUGGCAGACGGCUGAGUAAUACAUGGGAAUCUACCUCAAACUCGAGAAUAGCCCAUCGAAAGGUGGUGUAAUACUCGAUAGUUCCGUUUACGGUAAAGCUCCGGCGGUUUGAGGUGAGCCCAUGUCCUAUCAGGUUGUUGGUAGGGUAAUUGCCUACCAAGCCUAUGACGGGUAGCUGGUUUGAGAGGAUGAUCAGCCAGACUGGGACUGCGAUACGGCCCAGACUCCUACGGGAGGCAGCAACUAGGAAUCAUGCGCAAUGGACGAAAGUCUGACGCUGCGACGUCGCGUGAGGGAUGAAGGUCUUCGGAUCGUAAACCUCUUUUAUCUGGGAACAAGUUCUGAGUGUACCAGAUGAAUAAGUGCCUGCCAACCACGUGCCAGAAGCAUCGGUAAUGCGUGGGGCACGAGCGUUAUCCGGAUUUACUGGGCGUAAAGAGAUGCGUAGGCGCCUUUUUAAGUCACUUGUAAAAUCUCCCCGCUCAACGGGGAAACUGCAAGUGAUACUGAAUUGGUUGAGUCAAGUAGAGGAGAGGGGAAUUCCUGGUGGAGCGGUUAAAUGCGUUGAUAUCAGGAGGAAUACCAAGUGCGAAGGCACCUCUCUGGACUUGUACUGACGCUAAGGCUCGAAAGUGUGGGGAGCAAAACGGAUUAGAUACCCGUGUAGUCCACACUGUAAACGAUCCCUGCUAGAUGUUUG